AUGGGCUGGUAUCGUCAGCGACCCGGCAGGCGGCUGGAGUGGCUUGCAGGGAUCACCAACAAUGGUUACACCAUCUAUUCACCAUCGUUGAAGGGCCGGGUGACGAUCUCCAGGGACAACGGGCAGAGCUCGGUGACGCUGACCAUGAACAGCCUCAAGGACGAGGAUUCCGGAUCCUAUUUCUGUGGGAAAUCUGCUGAUAGUGGGCUCCGGGCGGCCGUGACCCUGCUGGAGUCCGGGGGGGUCCUCCAGCCCCCCGGGGGGUCCCUGCGCCUCCUCUGCCGAGGGUCUGGGUUCGAUUUUGGACGAACCAGUCUGAUGUGGGUUCGCCAGGGCCCCGGGCAGGCGCUGGAACUCAUCGCGUGGAUCAGGAACGAUGGUGGCAACACCUGGUAUGCGCCCUCGGUGCAGGGCCGGGUGACGAUCUCCAGGGACAACGGGCAGAGCUCGGUGACGCUGACCAUGAACAGCCUCAAGGACGAGGAUUCCGGAUCCUAUUUCUGCGUGAAAUCUUCUUGUGCAAACUGUGCUGCCCCUGACCCCAACCCCUGA